UUGGAGGGCAAGUCUGGUGCCAGCAGCCGCGGUAAUUCCAGCUCCAAUAGCGUAUAUUAAAGUUGUUGCAGUUAAAAAGCUCGUAGUUGAACUUCGGGGUUCACCCAUUGGUCAGGCUUAAUUGUCUGUACUGGUGAGAUGAGUCUCUACCUUCUGAGGAACUUUCAUGCCAUUUGUUUGGUGUGAUGGGAAAUCAGGACUGUUACUUUGAAAAAAUUAGAGUGUUUAAAGCAGGCUAACGUCUGAAUACAUUAGCAUGGAAUAAUGAAAUAGGACGGAUUGAUUCUAUUUCGUUGGUUUCUAGGGUCACCGUAAUGAUUAAUAGGGAUAGUUGGGGGCAUUAGUAUUCAAUUGUCAGAGGUGAAAUUCUUGGAUUUAUUGAAGACUAACUACUGCGAAAGCAUUUGCCAAGGAUGUUUUCAUUAAUCAAGAACGAAAGUUAGGGGAUCGAAGACGAUCAGAUACCGUCGUAGUCUUAACCAUAAACUAUGCCGACUAGGGAUCGGACGAAGUUAAUUUUAUAAUGACGCGUUCGGCACCUUACGGGAAACCAAAG
rnacentral:rRNA from 1 species